rnacentral:misc_RNA from 2 species
AACGCAUCUUGCGCUCCUUGGUAUUCUGAGGAGCAUGCCUGUUUGAGUGUCAUUAAAUUCUCAACCACACCUGGUGUGGCUUGGAUUUGGGUUGUUGUGGGCUUUUUUUUUUGUAGUCUGCUCCCCUGAAAUUAAUUAGCGGUACCUUGGUGGAACUGUCUACAGGUGUGAUAAUUAUCUACAUCCUAGACAUCUGCUGGAAUGCUGCUUUCUAAAACCUUACUUGACAAUCUUGACCUCAAAUCAGGUAGGACUACCCGCUGAACUUAA